AAUUUUGUUUUGUUUCAGGAUGCAGCCCUUGCUACGACUUAGGAGACCUUUCCAAAUUUGAGGCGCGCCGACGCGCCGUGUGGCCACUGGAAACGAUACUUACCUGGGCGCCAGAAGGGAGUGAACACACAGCGUAGUCGUCGGCGGAGAAGCCCCAACCCAGCAGGCCGUCGUGCAUCACGGCAGUAAGCAGUGCCACCCAUCCUAGCUUGCUCUGGAUGAAAUUAAACUCACGCCAAGUGAGGGUGGCUCCAACGGAAGGCAGAGACGAGACUCCGACGAUGAAGAUUUUCAGACCGAAACAGACACAUAUUUGGGGAACUGCGGUCACUACAAUCUACUUCCCUCGAAGGCGUGGGGUAAACUGAAGCUUACGUCUGGCAGCUGCCGCGAGGAAUACUUCACUUCUACCCGGGACUUCACUUGUAACUGCUACACCGGUGCCGCAGUAAAAAAAUGUCUUGAAGUGUCUUGCUCAUCUGCGCGUGCGUGGGUGGCCUAUGCACUGCCAGACGCACGAGGAGUUAGGACAAGAUUUACUAAGCAUACUGCGCAUGCGUGAGCAACAUGUCAUACUGCACCAUCAUGUAUAGGGAUAAAUACAUGUAUUUUCCAAAUUCUUUCGUCGUAUAUACAGUCAAAUAAAAUGUUUAUUUAAAAAAUUCAAAUUAUUGGCAUACAAACAGGUCAUUAAUAUCACAAAUAAAUAUUUCCAUCUCAA